rnacentral:rRNA from 1 species
AUGGGUUCUCCCGGGAAACUGGGGCUAAUAUCCGAUAGGCGAGAGAUCCUGGAAUGGGUUCUCACCCAAAAGAUGUUAAAACCGUGCUUUUGACAUUGCUUGAAGAUGAGGCCGCAUCCGAUCAGGUUGUUGGUGAGGUAACGGCUCACCAAGCCUAUAACCGGUACGGGCCGUGAGAGCGGGAGCCCGGAGAUGGGCACUGAGACAAGGGCCCAGGUCCUACGGGGCGCAGCAGUUGCGAAAACUCCGCAAUGCGCGAAAGCGUGACGGGGCUACCCCGAGUGCUGUCCGCUGAGGAUGGCUUUUAUUCGGUGUAAUGAGCCGGAGGAAUAAGGAGAGGGCAAGACUGGUGUCAGCCGCCGCGGUAAUACCAGCUCUCCGAGUGGUGGGGACGAUUAUUGGGCCUAAAGCGUCCGUAGCUGGUCAGGUAAGUGUCCCGUUAAAUCCGACGACCUAAUCGUCGUGCCGCGGGAUAUACUGCCCGACUAGGGGACGGGAGAGGUCGACGGUAUUCCUGGAGUAGGGGUGAAAUCCUAUAAUCCCAGGAAGACCACCAGUGGCGUAGGCGGUCGACCAGAACGUGCCCGACAGUGAGGGACGAAAGCUGGGGGAGCGAACCGGAUUAGAUACCCGGGUAGUCCCAGCCGUAAACGAUGCGGGCUAGGUGUUGGAUCGGCUACGGGCCGAUCCAGUGCCGCAGGGAAGCCAUUAAGCCCGCCGCCUGGGUAGUACGGCCGCAAGGCUGAAACUUAAAGGAAUUGGCGGGGGAGCAC